rnacentral:lncRNA from 1 species
UCUCAAAACAAAACCACAUUUGAAAUAAAAUCUCUUUUAAAGUUCCCGCACUUAACGAUUUUCAACCAACUAAGUCUCAAAACAAAACAACAUUCAAAACAAAAAAAUCCCUUUUAAAGUCCCUCCACUUUACCAUUUUUAACCUUCUAAGUCUCAAAAUAAAACAACAUUCAAAACAAAAAAAUCCCUUUCAAAGUCCCUACAUUUAACCAUUUUCAACCG